rnacentral:rRNA from 1 species
GAGUAACACGUGGAUAACCUACCUAUAAGACUGGGAUAACUUCGGGAAACCGGAGCUAAUACCGGAUAAUAUUUUGAACCGCAUGGUUCAAAAGUGAAAGACGGUCUUGCUGUCACUUAUAGAUGGAUCCGCGCUGCAUUAGCUAGUUGGUAAGGUAACGGCUUACCAAGGCAACGAUGCAUAGCCGACCUGAGAGGGUGAUCGGCCACACUGGAACUGAGACACGGUCCAGACUCCUACGGGAGGCAGCAGUAGGGAAUCUUCCGCAAUGGGCGAAAGCCUGACGGAGCAACGCCGCGUGAGUGAUGAAGGUCUUCGGAUCGUAAAACUCUGUUAUUAGGGAAGAACAUAUGUGUAAGUAACUGUGCACAUCUUGACGGUACCUAAUCAGAAAGCCACGGCUAACUACGUGCCAGCAGCCGCGGUAAUACGUAGGUGGCAAGCGUUAUCCGGAAUUAUUGGGCGUAAAGCGCGCGUAGGCGGUUUUUUAAGUCUGAUGUGAAAGCCCACGGCUCAACCGUGGAGGGUCAUUGGAAACUGGAAAACUUGAGUGCAGAAGAGGAAAGUGGAAUUCCAUGUGUAGCGGUGAAAUGCGCAGAGAUAUGGAGGAACACCAGUGGCGAAGGCGACUUUCUGGUCUGUAACUGACGCUGAUGUGCGAAAGCGUGGGGAUCAAACAGGAUUAGAUACCCUGGUAGUCCACGCCGUAAACGAUGAGUGCUAAGUGUUAGGGGGUUUCCGCCCCUUAGUGCUGCAGCUAACGCAUUAAGCACUCCGCCUGGGGAGUACGACCGCAAGGUUGAAACUCAAAGGAAUUGACGGGGACCCGCACAAGCGGUGGAGCAUGUGGUUUAAUUCGAAGCAACGCGAAGAACCUUACCAAAUCUUGACAUCCUUUGACAACUCUAGAGAUAGAGCCUUCCCCUUCGGGGGACAAAGUGACAGGUGGUGCAUGGUUGUCGUCAGCUCGUGUCGUGAGAUGUUGGGUUAAGUCCCGCAACGAGCGCAACCCUUAAGCUUAGUUGCCAUCAUUAAGUUGGGCACUCUAAGUUGACUGCCGGUGACAAACCGGAGGAAGGUGGGGAUGACGUCAAAUCAUCAUGCCCCUUAUGAUUUGGGCUACACACGUGCUACAAUGGACAAUACAAAGGGCAGCGAAACCG